AAAAAACAAGAGGUGAGGUAGAAGAUGCACAAAUACAGCCAGCAGCAAUUAGCAAAAUUAUGGGAUAACGUCUGUGUUCAGUGCCUCUUAGCAUCAAGUCUUUUCCAGAGGCUGUUCCAUCAUGAACUUGAGCAGGAUCAGGGACAUCUGAUCCUAAGUCAAAGUCAGAAGACCAGCAUAAAACCCCAGAUGCGUUAUUGACAACACUCCAAGCAGGAAGAUUUUGAAGACUAACAGAUGUGCACUGGAGCUUGCCACACAGACUAUGCCUGUAUUGAACGAAUGACACUCAGAGACAAGGAUUUCCUUAGCAGUACUGCCACCAGUUUGGGGUCCAUGAAAACGAAGGCAAUACAGAAGUGGCCUGCCAGGCCAAACCCACCUCAAUGACACCAUGCCAAAGCAAGAGCUCUGGAGACCCUUGGCUGCUGGAACAGGCUGAGGAGAAGGCUUGGACUCAAGAGAGAAACAGAAAGGUAUUUACCCUCAAAAGCUUUUCCCUGCUAGAGGUACUGUUUGAUAAAAAUGGGUAUUUCACCGACUGCUUCACAAACAUCUUCUUGUGAUGAAGGCUGCCAUUCAGCACACCACAUCGGAAGGGGAUAUCCUGCAUAUCUUCUAACGGGUAAAACCCAUGUUCAGAUGUGCUGGAUGUGUUGAGCGGCUCUAUUCCAUACCAUUUGCCACCAAUGUAGAGAAUUCCUCUAAUAAUCAUAAAAGAAUGAAAAAUUAUUCCACAAUUUUCCCCUCAUGGUUAUGACUAAGUGAGUGAAUGACAGCUGGAUACUUAAAAACUAGAACUGUUCAUACCAUUAUGUUGAAAUAAAUUAUUAUCUUAAACUAUCUUAAUGUAGGGGGUAAGUUCAAAUGCCCAACAGGAUCUCAAAAGACAAAACAGAACUUACUUGAAGUACUUGAUUGUACAUAAGUGUGGGCUCCUUGAAUCAGUUAGCAGGAAAGCCAAAUUAUUACUAAAUGAGUCUGGAUAGUGGGUACAGAGCUGAUGCAAAGGGUCUCUUUUAGUCCUUAUCUCUACUCUCACUCCUAGCCCCGUGCAGCUAAAGUAAUCUAGCAUUUUAGAAAAAGAUACCUUCUAAGACAGAAAGAGAGGCUAAAAGCAAUCACCAGGGUGUUUAUGAGGGCAACAGCAGUAUUGCACUGCUGAGUACAGCUAAAUAGAAAGAUUUUGCAUUUGUCCAUGGCUCAGAAACACCUACCACAUGCCCAUUUGCUGUACCAGAAUCUUUCAGAAGCUAUUAUCUUGUUCUCCAGAAUCUCAAAACUAUAUUUAGAACAGGAAGUCUCUAGUUAAUACUUUGUGAAAGAAGAUCCUCAAAAUGUGAGUAAAAGGUAACCAAAGGAUUUGAGUCUGCAUAAGUUUGCAGACAGCCAAAAUGAAAUAUCUGUUCUGCUUAGGGAGAUCCAGCAUUACCUGAAAUACCAGUAUGUUGACGAUUUUAUUCUUCAUUUAAAGGAAUGCCAGGAAAUGUCAUUAUUUAUUGUGAGUGGCAUCUCACUGUGAUGCUAUACAUGAAAGAUAUCUGGGUGAACUUUAUCCCAUUUGCCUCUUCAUGCUUGUCAAAAAACCAUCAAACUGAACAAGGCUAGUACAACCAACAAGUGUAUCCAAAGUCCAGCUAAAGAGCCAAGCUCAGUGAACACAGGGAAGCAUGGGUACACUCUAAGCACAUUCUGAAUAUCUGCACAAUUUGUUGUGCGUGGCAUCUCAUUUUGCCAACUCACAUGGACUGAUUCCACAGGGAGAAACCCCCAUCUUUUACGCAUUAAUCUGGCCCAUUUAUGUUUCUCAAAUAAAUGUAAUUUUCUUGUAUUUGAAACACAAAAAAUUGUUUCAAAUUUGGUCAAAACUUUUUCCACAGAAAUGGUUUUUCUUUUGAAACCUGCCCAUUCAUAAGACAGAAUUGUUUGCAGGAGUGUGUUAAGUUUAGCAAAAGCUUCAUCAGCAUUUCUUCUAGAGAGGUACCGCUGGUCAAGACAUUCACAUCAAGUAAUAGAGGCCUCAGUUCAUGCCUGUGUUCUGCCUAUGUUUGGAUUAUGCUCUCUCUCAUGUUAUCUUUUUCUGUGAAGGAAUUUUGGCAAAGGGGAAAAAAGUGGUAGUUGAGGGAAGAUAUAAAACCUCUAAAGAGUUUCAGCUUCAUCAACAGGCGAAAUAUAACAAAAAUUUGCACGAUAGGAUGGUGUUUUCUCUCCAGGUGUAUGUUGAAUAGCAACUGCUUUUUUGGUACUGCACAAUGAAUUACCAUGAAGUAAAAAGCAAGAGGUAAUACCUAAGGCCAUCGCAUGUGCUAAGAGCAAGCAUCGAGUCAGCAAUCCCUUCAAUAGUGCCAUGAUAAUAACAGUGUGUCUGAAAUGCAACAAAACCACAUAAUUAAUGACAAAAUAAGGUUGUUGCCUUCAAAUGCAAACUUACUUUCUAACCAGCCUUUUUAUUUGCAUGACUUUAAGGCUGGUUGUUACAAAUUUACAGAGUUCCCUAUUCUAAAGGUAAUCCCAACCUUCUUGGAGUAAAAUAUUACUUGACAUGAGUACCUACAAUAGCAUUUGGUCCCUUGGUUCUAGGAAGCAACCAGCUUUUUAGUUUAACCCAUCACCAUCCUUUAAAAAAAUCUUUUCAUCUGCAUUGCUCAUCCUGUUCUUAAACAGACUCCUCUCAAAGGCUGAUCUGAGAAGAUCUCCCAUGCAGUUUCCCAUAAGACUUAAUUGCUCCCAAUUAAGUCUCGCUGAGCUCGCAUGCAGUUUAAAGUUGAAAUUAAAUUCAAAAGUAUUUGUAAGGCUUGUUUGAUACAGGACCUAAAAACUAUAGAGCUUUGAUGCUGCAAUUGUACCUUUAAUUGCAUACUAUGCAAAGGUGACCUAAUCAGGUAGCUCAAAUUCAGUCUUGGCAUAAUCUCCUGGCAUCUCCUUUCACACCUUGGAAAACAGUGACGCUGUAUCACUGUAAACAGCCCACUCCCUCAAAAGACAUAGGGCCUUAUGUUUUGUAUCAGUGGUAACUGUUAAACAGAAAUGCUACAAAUGUGAAAACUCACAAAAGCCUCUUUCCCAGCAAAUAUAUUUUUCUUCUGUAGAUACUUUAUGUGCAUCACUAGCAUUUUCCCUUCCAUUGCCAAAAAUGUAACCAAUUUUCACUGACCUAUUAUAGAGAUACGAAAACACCCAGAAUUAAUGGUUGUGCAUUCGCUUUUGCUUUGAAAAUACAUUUAGAUGUAUACACACCCUUGUUGUCAUCCUUAGUUCUAUCAAAUUCUUAAUAUGGCCUUCAAUCCAUAAAGCUUGGCUUCCAUGGUUUGAGGAAACUCUGACACAAAAAGGGAAUUUUAUUAUCUACAAUACCUUGUUUUUUGGUUGUGUUGCCUCCAGUUCCCCAUUUUUCCCAUAUGUAUAUAGCAUAAAGUCUUCGCUAACAAGCUUUCUGGAAACAAAAAUAAACUACUGCUCUUUUAACAGUCUAGAAAGCAAGAAAUAAGUCAAGAAUCCUAGUAAGUACUACAUUCUGUUAGCAGCACACUCAUGCUAAAUUACUAUUAAAAUCCAUGGACUUGAAACAAAAUACCUUAAAAUGAGCUGCAUUAUUUGGAAAAUAAGUUAUUUUGAAAUAUUUUAACUAAAAUUUCCAUAGUGUAGGAUCUGAGCAGACUAUGUUGCAUCGGGGCCUAGACUAUUACAGGCUCAGGAAUGAGGAACAACAGUAACAGACAAAUUUCUUCAAAUACAACAUGGCUAACAACCUUCCCCCCUGCUAAUAAAAAGCUAAUGCUGAACUGAAUUCUAAUUUUUCAUAAGGAUUUUCUGAAAAGUCUUGUGCUGCUAAUAAAAAACCUAAUCAAAAUAAAUUGCUUCACAACUAGAAAAAAUAUUAUUCCCUUCUAUUUGCAAGCUAGUACCAUAACAGAGAUGCUAUUUAACAGUCAUUUUGUAAUUACUACUAUCUGCCAUGUAGGUGGUUUCUUCUGAAUCUUUUCAGCAUAUAAAUACUUGUCUAUAUGCAACUAACUCCCAAGAUGGUAUGAUUCCUUAGAACACUCUACCACAUACUUAUUUUUCUUCAGUUUUAGGAGAUAUGUUCCAUUUCUGGUUUUAACUGAGUAAGAAAGAUUGUCAUCUGAAUGCUCCUGAAAACAGAACAAAAGAUGUUACUUAAUUAGGUGAUUUUCUACUUGGUUGUGUCAGUUCCAUGUUUUGUCUGAGAAGAGAGGUCCAACUACUAUGUAUGUUUUGAGUAUCUAUCAAAACACAGAUUCCUAACCCUCAUGCCUUCUAGAUUUCAAAGUCUCAGCAGCACACUCUACAUUCUUUCCUAUGGAAAGUUUAAAUGCUAUUAAUCUAUAAAUUUUCAUGUAGAAGACAGAAGGGCACAGCCCCUGUAUGCACUCUGCCCAACCACCACAUCAUGUUUGGUGACACUCCUUAUGUAAAUCAUUGGCAGCCGGACGAACAACUCACAGAUUCUUCCUUCCUUAAUCGGUUUGCACAAAGAUGACUAAUGCUAUUUCAGUAACAGUUACUUCAGUAAUUGAA